rnacentral:tRNA from 1 species
GGGGAUUUAGCUCAGUGGUAGAGUGCUUGCCUAGCAAGCACAAGGUCCUGGGUUCGGUCCCUAGCUCCA